UUGGGCGUUCCCCGUUCGGGGGACAGGGUGACAGGUGGUGCAUGGUUGUCGUCAGCUCGUGUCGUGAGAUGUUGGGUUAAGUCCCGCAACGAGCGCAACCCUCGACCUUAGUUGCCAGCAUUCAGUUGGGCACUCUAAGGUGACUGCCGGCUAAAAGUCGGAGAAGGCGGGGAUGACGUCAAAUCAUCAUGCCCCUUAUGACCUGGGCUACACACGUGCUACAAUGGGCGGUACAAAGGGUCGCGAACCCGCGAGGGGGAGCCAAUCCCAAAAAGCCGCUCCCAGUUCGGAUUGCAGGCUGCAACUCGCCUGCAUGAAGCCGGAAUCGCUAGUAAUCGCGGAUCAGCAUGCCGCGGUGAAUACGUUCCCGGGCCUU
rnacentral:rRNA from 1 species